rnacentral:piRNA from 1 species
AGAGAAGGACAUAGUCAGUGCAUGG